rnacentral:tmRNA from 1 species
GGGGGUGUAAUGGUUUCGACAGGGUCGUAGAGGCCUGAGGAGCGAGCCGUGGCGGGCGCCACGUUAAAAGCCCAACUUUAAAAUUAAACGCUAAAAAUAAUAACGUAGCUUUAGCUGCCUAGUUGCAGCUUGUCCGCCUGAGUUUACCGCAGACUCAGGUUAGGGCAUCAAUGAUGCGGUGAACGUGAGCCGGGAAAGCUUUGACCCGGCCAUGAAUUAAUGAAGCUACCGAGCUAUGCAGUUUGUCAAUGGACUGCACAGUAAGGGAAUUUUAACCAUUGACUACGCUCGUAGUGCCUCUUGAGGAUACUUCUUUGGACAGGGGUUCAAUUCCCCUCACCUCCACCA